rnacentral:rRNA from 1 species
AAGGAUCAUUAACGAAUAUAAUUCGAGGGGUUGUCGCUGGCCUCGCUCGCGCGAGGCAUGUGCACGCUUCUCGUUUUUCUCUCAACUCACCUGUGCACCUAAUGUAGGAUGCCUCUCCUCCGGGAGGGGGGACCUAUGUCUUCGUAACAUCUUCGUGUAGAAAGUCUUUGAAUGUUUACUAUCAUCGAGUCGCGACUUCUAGGAGACGCGAUUCUUUGAGAUAAAAGUUAUUACAACUUUCAGCAACGGAUCUCUUGGCUCUCGCAUCGAUGAAGAACGCAGCGAAAAGCGAUAUGUAAUGUGAAUUGCAGAUCUACAGUGAAUCAUCGAAUCUUUGAACGCACCUUGCGCUCCUCGGUGUUCCGAGGAGCAUGCCUGUUUGAGUGUCAGUAAAUUCUCAACCCCUCUCGAUUAGCUUCGAGAGGGCGCUUGGAUAGUGGAGGUUGCCGGAGACUUGGAUUCGUCCGAGACUCGGGCUCUUCUGAAAUGCAUCGGCUUGCGGUCGACUUUCGACUAUGUGCGACAAGGCUUUCGGCGUGAUAAUGAUCGCCGUUCGCUGAAGCGCAUGACUGAACGUCCCGUGCCUCUAAUACGUCGACCGCUUAUUAUCUCUCCGGAGAGAACAGGGUCUUCCUAAUUGACUUUUGACCUCAAAUCAGGUAGGACUACCCGCUGAACUUAA